rnacentral:rRNA from 1 species
CCAAUAGCGUAUAUUAAAGUUGUUGCAGUUAAAAAGCUCGUAGUUGAACUUCGGGGUUUGCUCAUUGGUCAGGCUUAAUUGUCUGCACUGGUGGGAUAAAUCUCUACCUUCUGAGGAACUUUCAUGCCAUUUAUUUGGUGUGAUUGGAAAUCAGGACUGUUACUUUGAAAAAAUUAGAGUGUUUAAAGCAGACUAACGUCUGAAUACAUUAGCAUGGAAUAAUGAAAUAGGACGGACUGAUUCUAUUUCGUUGGUUUCUAGGAUCACCGUAAUGAUUAAUAGGGAUAGUUGGGGGCAUUAGUAUUCAAUUGUCAGAGGUGAAAUUCUUGGAUUUAUUGAAGACUAACUACUGCGAAAGCAUUUGCCAAGGAUGUUUUCAUUAAUCAAGAACGAAAGUUAGGGGAUCGAAGACGAUCAGAUACCGUCGUAGUCUUAACCAUAAACUAUGCCGACUAGGGAUCGGACGAAGUUAAUUUUAUAAUGACGCGUUCGGCACCUUACG